UCAGUCUUCAUCAUUUCCUCAUCCCCGGGGUCCAGUUUUCCCAGGAAUCCCUUGGGCAAUCGAAAGGGGGAUUCCUGGAAAUACUGUUCUUGGGGUUGGGGCUGGACUACUGA
ensembl:miRNA mir145 microRNA 145